rnacentral:rRNA from 1 species
GAGAGAACUCGGGUGAAGGAACUAGGCAAAAUGGUGCCGUAACUUCGGGAGAAGGCACGCUGACACGUAGGUGAAGUGAUUUACUCACGGAGCUGAAGUCAGCCGAAGAUACCAGCUGGCUGCAACUGUUUAUUAAAAACACAGCACUGUGCAAACACGAAAGUGGACGUAUACGGUGUGACGCCUGCCCGGUGCCGGAAGGUUAAUUGAUGGGGUCAGCGCAAGCGAAGCUCCUGAUCGAAGCCCCGGUAAACGGCGGCCGUAACUAUAACGGUCCUAAGGUAGCGAAAUUCCUUGUCGGGUAAGUUCCGACCUGCACGAAUGGCGUAAUGAUGGCCAGGCUGUCUCCACCCGAGACUCAGUGAAAUUGAACUCGCUGUGAAGAUGCAGUGUACCCGCGGCAAGACGGAAAGACCCCGUGAACCUUUACUAUAGCUUGACACUGAACAUUGAGCCUUGAUGUGUAGGAUAGGUGGGAGGCUUUGAAGUGUGGACGCCAGUCUGCAUGGAGCCGACCUUGAAAUACCACCCUUUAAUGUUUGAUGUUCUAACGUGGACCCGUGAUCCGGGUUGCGGACAGUGUCUGGUGGGUAGUUUGACUGGGGCGGUCUCCUCCUAAAGAGUAACGGAGGAGCACGAAGGUUGGCUAAUCCUGGUCGGACAUCAGGAGGUUAGUGCAAUGGCAUAAGCCAGCUUGACUGCGAGCGUGACGGCGCGAGCAGGUGCGAAAGCAGGUCAUAGUGAUCCGGUGGUUCUGAAUGGAAGGGCCAUCGCUCAACGGAUAAAAGGUACUCCGGGGAUAACAGGCUGAUACCGCCCAAGAGUUCAUAUCGACGGCGGUGUUUGGCACCUCGAUGUCGGCUCAUCACAUCCUGGGGCUGAAGUAGGUCCCAAGGGUAUGGCUGUUCGCCAUUUAAAGUGGUACGCGAGCUGGGUUUAGAACGUCGUGAGACAGUUCGGUCCCUAUCUGCCGUGGGCGCUGGAGAACUGAGGGGGGCUGCUCCUAGUACGAGAGGACCGGAGUGGACGCAUCACUGGUGUUCGGGUUGUCAUGCCAAUGGCACUGCCCGGUAGCUAAAUGCGGAAGAGAUAAGUGCUGAAAGCAUCUAAGCACGAAACUUGCCCCGAGAUGAGUUCUCCCUGAGACUUUAGGUCUCCUGAAGGAACGUUGAAGACGACGACGUUGAUAGGCCGGGUGUGUAAGCGCAGCGAUGCGUUGAGCUAACCGGUACUAAUGAACCGUGAGGCUUAACCUU